rnacentral:Y_RNA from 1 species
GGCCUGUCCAAUGGUAGUGGGUUAUCAGAACUUAUUAACAUGAGUGCUACUAAAGUUGGUAUACAACCCCCCACUGCUAAAUUUGAUUGGCUUAAA